UACGUAGGGGGCUAGCGUUGUCCGGAAUCAUUGGGCGUAAAGCGCGUGUAGGCGGCCCGGUAAGUCCGCUGUGAAAGUCGGGGGCUCAACCCUCGGAUGCCGGUGGAUACUGUCGGGCUCGAGUACGGAAGAGGCGAGUGGAAUUCCUGGUGUAGCGGUGAAAUGCGCAGAUAUCAGGAGGAGCACCGGUGGCGAAGGCGGGUCUCUGGGCCGAAACUGACGCUGAGGAGCGAAAGCGUGGGGAGCAAACAGG
rnacentral:rRNA from 1 species